CACAUCCGAUCACUGAUAAUGUUUAUCUACUGGUUCCCAAGGGAACCCUGUAAACAAACUAUACAAUAGGCCAAUCUGCUAGCCUAUAGCAUAGGCAUAAACAUCUCAAACAGUCCUAUGGAGCUGUAUCUGUGGAUACUCUGAUUCAGUGGAGACAUCUUCAUGAUGACCCAGGACAGAUGUGACAGAAAAGUGAAUGACUCCAAUAAGAAGACGCCCCCUGUGAACAGAAAGAAUUCGAUGAGUCAAUAGCCAAAGGGGAACAAAAUGAAGUCAACGUUCAGAGGAAAAAUGUGCAGUGUUCUAGUGACAUCUAGUGGACUUAUGGGAAUUUGCAGUCACAAACCAUAUGCACAGCAGAGUCCUGUAUUUGGAGGCUAUGCAACUUUUUAGCAAAAAAAUAUUAACAGGAUUUAACCACUUAGAGGACUGUGCCCUUUUUCAUUUUGCAUAAAAAAUCAUAACACUUUCAAUUUUCCAUCUACAGACCCAUUUGAGGGCUUCAUUUUUUUGCCACCAAUUUUAGU